rnacentral:rRNA from 1 species
GAUGGCGGACGGGUGAGUAACGCGUAAGAACUUGCCCUUUAGACUGGGAUAACAGAGGGAAACUUCUGAUAAUACUGGAUAAGUUAGUAUAUCGCAUGAUAUGCAAAUGAAAGCUACGGCACUAAAGGAGAGCUUUGCGUCCUAUUAGCUAGUUGGUAAGGUAAGAGCUUACCAAGGCGAUGAUAGGUAGCCGGCCUGAGAGGGUGGACGGCCACAAGGGGACUGAGAUACGGCCCUUACUCCUACGGGAGGCAGCAGCC